UACGUAGGCAGCGAGCGUUGUUCGGAAUUACUGGGCGUAAAGAGUGUGUAGGCGGUGCUCCAAGUCUGGUGUGAAAUCUCCCGGCUUAACUGGGAGGGUGCGCCGGAAACUGGAGUGCUCGAGGGUGGGAGAGGUAAGCGGAAUUCCUGGUGUAGCGGUGAAAUGCGUAGAUAUCAGGAGGAACACCUGUGGUGUAGACAGCUUACUGGACCAUUUCUGACGCUGAGACACGAAAGCGUGGGUAGCAAACAGG
rnacentral:rRNA from 1 species